AAGCUCGUAAGUUGAAUUUCGGGUAUUUAUUAUUAGCUGGUCUUACUGGCCAUGUUAAUUAAUAGAUCCUCAUUUGCUGGAUAAUUGUUGAUGAUCUUCAUCGAUUGUCAUCAAUUGCCAGAACGUUUACUUUGAGAAAAUUAGAGUGCUAAAAGCAGGCUCAUGCCUAUAUAUAUUGCAUGGAAUAAUGAAAUAAGAUCUCGAUUUUAUUUCGUUGGUUUUAGAAAUUGAGAUAAUGAUUAAGGGGAUAGUUGGG
rnacentral:rRNA from 1 species